CACGGGGGGAGCAAGCGUUGUUCGGAAUCACUGGGCGUAAAGGGCGUGUAGGCGGUUGGAUAAGUGGAAUGUGAAAUGCCUCGGCUCACCCGAGGAUCGGCAUCCCAAACUGUCCGACUUGAGUAUGGGAGAGGAUGAGGGAAUUCCCGGUGUAGCGGUGAAAUGCGUAGAGAUCGGGAGGAAGGCCGGUGGCGAAGGCGGCGCUCUGGAACAUUUCUGACGCUGAGGCUCGAAAGCGUGGGGAGCAAACAGG
rnacentral:rRNA from 1 species